rfam:Brassica oleracea var. oleracea cultivar TO1000 chromosome C3, whole genome shotgun sequence
AUAAUGGAUGAACCAUAGACUCGUUUCUCUCCUGACAUUAUAUUAUUCAGAUAUUAAUGCUUGCUUUCUUCUCCACGUGGAAUUUCAAGUUUGGCUAUUCUGUUACAUUC